rnacentral:rRNA from 1 species
GAUUCCCCUAGUAACGGCGAGUGAAGCGGGAUGAGCUCAAAUUUAAAAUCUGGCUGGUUUACUAGUCCGAAUUGUAGUUUAAAGAAGCGUUUUCGGUGGCAGCCUGGGUAUAAAUCCUUUGGAACAGGGUAUCAUAGAGGGUGAGAAUCCCGUCUUUGACUCAGUGCAUGCUACUAUGUGAUACGUUUUCAAAGAGUCGAGUUGUUUGGGAAUGCAGCUCAAAAUGGGUGGUAAAUUUCAUCUAAAGCUAAAUAUUGGCGAGAGACCGAUAGCGAACAAGUACCGUGAGGGAAAGAUGAAAAGAACUUUGAAAAGAGAGUUAAACAGUGCGUGAAAUUGUUGAAAGGGAAACGCUUGACACCAGUCAUGCGAGCGGAAAAUCAGUCUUUUGCAGUGGGGAGUGUGUGUGGGUUCGGACCGCAAGGCCGGCCUGCGCUUCAUCUCUGCUGUAAGUGAUGCACUUUUUCGUUUGCAGGCCAACAUCAGUUUCUUCUGCUGGACAAAACUCUUGAGAAGGUAGCAGCUUAGGCUGUGUUAUAGCUCUUGAGCGAUACAGUGGAGGAGACUGAGGUUUUCGCAGCGCGUGCUUUCGGGCAAGGCUGAUUGGGUGCUAUGGGAUCGUUCGGUGUACAAUGCAUGCAUUUUGCGCCGUGUCUUUUCUAUACUCGCUCAACUCGGCUCUUCCGCGCUUAGGAUGUUGGCUUAAUGGUUUUAAUCGACCCGUCUUGAAACACGGACCAAGGAGUCUAACAUAUAUGCAAGUGUUUGGGUGGCAAACCCAUGCGCGUAAUGAAAGUGAACGUAGGUGCGAUCCGCAAGGUGCAGCAUCGACCGAUCUUGAUAUUUUUGGAUAGAUUUGAGUAAGAGCAUAUAUGCUGGGACCCGAAAGAUGGUGAACUAUGCCUGAAUAGGGUGAAGCCAGAGGAAACUCUGGUGGAGGCUCGUAGCGAUUCUGACGUGCAAAUCGAUCGUCAAAUUUGGGUAUAGGGGCGAAAGACUAAUCGAACCAUCUAGAGGUAACGC